rnacentral:rRNA from 1 species
CUACGGGAUGCAGCAGUGAGGAAUAUUGCACAAUGGGGGGAACCCUGAUGCAGCAACGCCGCGUGGAGGAUGACGCAUUUCGGUGUGUAAACUCCUUUUAUAUGUCAAGAAAAUGACGGUAGCAUAUGAAUAAGCACCGGCUAACUCCGUGCCAGCAGCCGCGGUAAUACGGAGGGUGCAAGCGUUACUCGGAAUCACUGGGCGUAAAGGACGCGUAGGCGGGUUGGAAAGUCAGGUGUGAAAUCCUACAGCUUAACUGUAGAACUGCACUUGAAACUUCUAAUCUAGAGGAUGGGGGGGGAGAUGGAAUUAGUGGUGUAGGGGUAAAAUCCGUAGAUAUCACUAGGAAUACCUAAAGCGAAGGCGAUCUCCUGGAACAUUACUGACACUAAGGCGUGAAAGCGUGGGGAGCAAACAGGAUUAGAUACCCUAGUAGUC